AUUGAACGCUGGCGGCAUGCCUUACACAUGCAAGUCGAACGGCAGCAUGAUCUAGCUUGCUAGAUUGAUGGCGAGUGGCGAACGGGUGAGCAAUACAUCGGAACGUGCCCUGUAGUGGGGGAUAACUAGUCGAAAGAUUAGCUAAUACCGCAUACGCCCUGAGGGUGAAAGUGGGGGACCGCAAGGCCUCAUGCUAUAGGAGCGGCCGAUGUCUGAUUAGCUAGUUGGUGAGGUAAAGGCUCACCAAGGCGACGAUCAGUAGCUGGUCUGAGAGGACGAUCAGCCACACUGGGACUGAGACACGGCCCAGACUCCUACGGGAGGCAGCAGUGGGGAAUUUUGGACAAUGGGGGCAACCCUGAUCCAGCAAUGCCGCGUGUGUGAAGAAGGCCUUCGGGUUGUAAAGCACUUUUGUCCGGAGAGAAAUCGCACUUACUAAUAUUAGGUGUGGAUGACGGUACCGGAAGAAUAAGGACCGGCUAACUACGUGCCAGCCGCCGCGGUAAUAC
rnacentral:rRNA from 1 species